UCCAGGUACACGGCACGUAAGACCUGUUUGUAUGCGGUAGUAUUAGUUCGCCGGUCGUUUGGAUUACAUUUCAUAUAAAAACUAGUUCAUCAACAAGGAAGUAAAAAUGAGGAAGUACAAACCAAAAAGCAUAAACGAAUUUUAUAAAAAUUAUAAUACACAAAAUUGUUUAAUAAUCGAAUUCACUGCGAGAAUAUUGUCAGACAAUUUAUUUUUCGAAUGAAUUUAACUUCUUUGAAACAAGGAUUUCUUAUGGAGGAUGUUGAAAAGGAUAGAACAUCAAUUUUAAAUUGUGAAAAACCACUCGAUCUAAUUGAUUUUGAAUAUCACUAAUUGGAAUUAUUAUGUUGACGUUUCAGAUUUAUGAAAAAUGUGCCUAGGAUAUAUCAAAUAAAUACAAUAAAAAUGAGAUAGAGGGCCUUUUAAAUACCUAAAUAGUUGAUUUUCAGUUGUAAAACGAACCACUAGUUAACCUUUGUAGGACUAUUCUAUUGCACGUCAUCGAAUAAAAAAAUUGAAAAAGCCUCUUUUUUUUUUUUUUUAACUGUUACAAAUACCACGGUUGUUGGUAGAUCGGUCUAAAAUUGUCAAUAAUGAUAAAUGUAUCGGUCAUCUAUAAAUAUAGUAGAUAUUAAUAAAAUAUAAAACACCCCGACGAGAACUGGUAUGGAUUACAUUACGGAUUUUUUUUAUUGCAUCCUAACCGGUCCACUUACAACCUUGUUUGACUACUAUGAUAUCACGCGACAUCAGCAUCCGUGACCUUUGGCUGGUCAAUUAGAAAAGGGCGACUAUAUUAGAGCAGGUGUCAGAAAAUACAAGUGCGCGCUACUCGUUUGCCACAGUUAUGGACGGCAAAAAGUCAAGUAGAAACUCAUAGUCGGUAGAACGCGAGCAUGAUUUUUAUCAGGGCACGGCUGAACAAUCUUCCUAGGUAUAUUAUGUGCACAAUAAUUGUGUAUUACUACUAUGCUGGCACACUACAACUAUUAAACACGGCGUGAUUAAAACUUCAAAAACAAUGCCGUUUCGGGCUAAAACCAGGCGAAAAGUUUUAGCUGGUAAGGCGAUAGUGGUAGCCACGGCCGGCCGAUGAUUUAUGCUUCCCUCGAGAAUGCGAUGUGUGGGGUAGGCGUGAACGGAAACCAAACGCGGUUGGUCGUUUUCGGCCCUUGAUAAGGGACCUGCUACUGUUUUCUCUCCGCGCGUUUCUCUUUAACUAAUAUAGGUACUCUCAUACAACGAAUAUAUACAUGUAAAGUACAUUCAUUGAAAUAACGGUGUAUAGCCAGCGGAUUACACAGCACCAAGUAUGCACAUAACGAUAUUCCUACGCAAAACAGACGAUACAGAUGUACUUAUCUCUCUCUCGAUUCCGAAUACAAGUCCCCUGAUCUCUUUAAUUAUAUAUACAUAUGAUGUGUACGUGUACAUUGGGUCGAUAGAUAUUAUAUUACUAUAAUGUCUUAGUAGAUUACAUUGUAAUUAAAACGCUAGCGAUGUCAAAUGCUAUUUGAAAUGGCUUACUCAAAAUGAUAUUUUUAUAACAGAAAACACUGGCAGAGUAAUAAGAAGUCAGAUACCAAUGAGUUUGAAUUUUUCGGAGAUUGAAUCGCGUUAAUGUUCUUUCAUUGUGCAUUAAAUGAAAAAAACAAUUAAAAAUUUUAGCUUGAUAACUUUACAAGUUAUCGAGUAUUAUUUGUCCAAAGCUGUGAUUGUUUUUUUGGUAAUAACAGAUUCUUCAACACAGUACAAAUUAUAUCGUUGUCGCUGCCAAAUUCAGUUUUUAAGUCCUUUAACUUGACUAUAAUACAUAACAAAUGUAUUUUACAACUAAGUUCUAACUACAUAAAUAUCAAUAAAAAUUAGGAGUUC